GACGCGCUGGCGGAUGAGCGAUAUCCAGGCGAACAUUGCGUAUACGUCGUGUGUGCCGUGCGAGCCCUCGGCUGUGGUUGUGUGUGUGUGAAGUGAGCUGAGGAGCGCUGGUUAGCUCGAGAGGCCCGUUAAUUGUGCGCUUGACGUUCCGGCUUUGGCCGUGCGAACUGCAAACCGCUUUCAAGGGCCGCCCGUCAAUAAAUUAUAAUGUCCUAAUGCCCAAUACCUAAUACCCGACGUCUAAUACCCAUUGACAGCGCAGGCCGCGUUGGCGGGCCGUGAAUAAAAUAUCAAAAGCAUUUUGGGCCCCGAGCCCUGGCUGUUGUUAUCAUCAGCGAGUGAGCAAAGGCCAUAUUCCCGUGUGCCGAUGCUUAAGUUGAUUUUAUGUUUCGCAUCUCGGCUAGCUCACACAUCCCAUGGCCACCCAGCACCCCCUGGAAUUUAUUAAAUAUUCAGCGUUUAUACGCAACAACACAGGAGUCGUUGCUCUUGUUUUCGCCCUUUGCUCCCAUUUUUUCAGUCCCUUGGUUUCUUUUUCGAGAUAUCUCAAGCUGCGAAGCAAAACAAUCCUAAUGUACAUUGACAGCGUGGUCGAAGCGCCAGCCAAGCAAAUCCUAUCCACACAUUCGCCCAGCGGGCUUAGCGAGUCAUGUUUACUUAAUGGAUACGCCAGGCAACUAUUAAGUGCUCCGCCAGCCCCCUGCACUUCUUCUUGCUUACCAUCUAAGCAGAUAUUAGAUUUGAUAUGGCCAUGUCAGUUAGCCACAUUAUCUGUCUGUGCAUUAAAGCCCAGAUUCGGAGAUUAAGAGCACCCUGGUCUUGAGCCAUUAUGCGUACUUAGCAUCACUCGCGAAAGCGACUGCCCCGAAUUAGCCCCAGAAAUUGUAAUUUGACUGUCCCCGGGGGCAGAAGGCACAACCUGCAUUGGGGACACCUUCGGGGCUCUACCCCUUCCCGCAGGACAACAAAGGAAUUCCGCGGAAGAACUCGCUCUGGCCAGAUUCCUUUGCUUUCCCUUUAAUUUCAAUGCGUAUCUUCCGGCUGCAGGACACCGGCGAAAAGGCGGCACGCAGGUGAGAGAAGUAAGGACACAGCCCGAGGCCAAAGACAAGGGAACGAAAAGAAUUAAGCAGCGCGGAGGAGCGGGUGGGAGUCACAGACACCGCCAGCGGGCGGUCCAAGGAGCCAACUUCAUUUACGUCUGAAACGCAGUUGAAAUAAACGACUUCACGACACUGGCGGAUUUCCUAAAAAAUAUCCAAUCCCUGUGGCUAACGAGCUGGCUCAGCGGGCGGACCAAGCGGAGCACCGGCGGAGGAAUCGGAAUCGGAUUGGGAGCCGGAGGAAUCGGCGGAGGAACCGGUGGCCACGAGCAGCGCUCAGUCAACGUUUACACGCUCCAGCAGGCGCACAAGUUUCCGCUUCAAUUGGACGCUGGUAAUUGCAGCUUUGAUUGCCACCAGGAGCUGGAUAGGAUCCGUCACCGCCACCGCAGCUCCGCAGCCAAAGGCAGGCAGGAAACAACACCUUCCUCGGCACCGGCCGAGGGAAUCUACGAAACCAAAUUUAUUGAAAGCUCAAUGGCCCAAACGAUGGACGACAUGGUCUUCCAGUGCAGCAAUCAAAACUCGAUUUAUGUGCUUAAUGCCAGCUACGGCGCAUACGGGGACUAUGGCACAUAUGCGGCAACAAAGCGUGAAAUAAAUGGCAGCCGGAGCAGAGCGGCAAAUCCAAUUGAGGCAACUUGCUCGAGUGGCGUCCUGCAGCAUAAAUUCAAAACUUUUGGCAGUGCAGCAGUGGCAGCAGCAACCACAACAACAAUGCCCGUGGAUGCGGCAUCAAACUACGUAAAUCCUGUCGCUACAUCAAUGUCAACCGCAAUGUGUUCACCGGCAACGGCGGCCCUGCAAAAAUUGUUCAAUUGCAGCGUCGGCGUCGCCUGCCAAAAUGUCACCCACGCCCACAGCCACCACAGCAGCAGCGGCCACACCAACAGCAGCAGCAUCAGCGGCAGCAACAUCCACAGCAGCAACAUCAGCGGCGGCAACAACAAUGCCGCCGCGAGCAACCAUAACAAUAGGUGCCUGUCAGCGGCAGGCGGAGCAGCCCAAAACGGCCGCAAUCGGAGCCGGAGUGGCGAGUCCUUGGAUGCCACUGCGGGAGCGGUUACCUCGACAGGGGGAGGAGCAGGAGGCGCAUCCGGAGGAGCAGCAACUGGGGGCCACCUCCCCCCACUGCUGCCGAAGAAGAAAUGCACCAAUGUCAAAUCAGCGCUUAUUGCCAAGAAGACAAAGUUUCUCAAAUAUCUCGAAGAAGAAAAAUGGCGCAGCCACGCAGCAGCGCCGGAAGAUUCUGCUGGCGCCAUCAGCGGCGGGGCGGCGCCACCCACCUCCAGUGGCAACAACAACAAUGGCGGCCACUUGAAAAAUCAGAGCAACAGUCGGGAGGCUGGCAGUGCUGCGAGUGCUGCGAGUGCCGUGAGUGCCGGAGCCGGCGGCAGUGGAGGCCAGCUGAAUAAAUUGACCAACUGGAGCAUGCAUAAUGAGGACAACAGCGCGGCGGCGCUGACCAGCCGGCGACGAGAGCCACAUGCCCCCCAGCAGCGGGCGAAGUCGAGCCUGGAGCUCUACCAGGAGGCGGCCGACAUCCUGGGCCUCAGUUGCAGCCUCUGUGAUAAUUGCCGAUGCCUGGACUGCCAGAGCGGUUACUUUGACUGCGACGACGAUGACGAGAGCUACUCGGAGCAAUCGCUGAUGGACGACGAGUACGAGGACGAGUUUGACUGCAGUGCGGAGGAGCUGCAGGCGGUGCUGACGGGCGGCGGAGGAGCCAGAGUCCCCCCCUGCUGCCAACUGGAGGCGAGCUCACACCUUCCGCUCAAAGGGGACUCCCCGGACGCACACGCCGCGCCGCCGGGUGUGGAGUCCCUGGGACAUCGGCUGGCCAUCGAUUUUGAUUUAAUUAACGCCACUUGCAGCCAAGUGCUGGAAAACUGUGAAACAUUCAACGAUCUGAGUCUGCUGGAUGCCGGAGCGGAGCGUCCUUUCACGUAAAUCCAGGUGGAUGGCCGAGGUGUGGGAGGGCCCUCCCCCAAUCAGGAAUGCCGAAUCGGACAGUGCAGCUAAUUAAAUGGGUGCCAAUUGUAUGCGGACACACACUCGCCCCCGGUGUUUGCGUUUCAUUUACCUUCUUAUUUUGAUUCCAAUUAAGCCCGGAGGCAAACAGAGCAGGAGGAACACGAGGGGCAGGAUGAAAAUGUUUUACUGGUUAACAGGAGGCCCUGGCUGCCACACAUAUGAUAUGUAUCCUACGCAAAUACGCCAUGCACACCCGUGUAUAUAGUGGACUUUAUUAUGGAGCGUGACGAGAAAUGGUCAGCCAAACAAAUCGCAAAUAAAUUAAUUGCAAAAUGCAAUUCCAAUCGAGGCGGCGGAAAUUCAAUUGCGAGCACUAGCGAAAAUCAGAAACGAUUAUCAGAAAAUAUAAACCACAUAUGCAAAAACAAUGGAAAACAAAGUGUGCCAAUUUCAUAUUCAUAUAUGAAUGCUGUUCGAGCUGCAAUCCAUUUGCAAUCCAGAGCGAAAUACAAUGGGCCUGUUUAGCGCGUAAUCUGACAUCAUGAACUACAAAACUAUUUGAAAAUUCAAUGAAAUAUUUAUCUCGAAAUCCAUGUUGGUAGUGCUUAAGUAUUUAAGAAUUUCGUGUGAUGCUUUUCAUUCGUUCGAUUGAUUUCAAAUCAAGGGGAAACAUUGGAAAUACAUAUAUUUGUGUUGGAAAAGGA